UGGGAUUUAGCUCAGCGGCAUAAGCACCUGCCUUGCAAGCAGGCAGACGUGAGUUCGAUCCCUAGUACCAA
rfam:Cavia porcellus supercont2_4 genomic scaffold, whole genome shotgun sequence.